rnacentral:tRNA from 1 species
GCGGCUAGCUCAGUCGGUAGAGCAUGAGACUCUUAAUCUCAAGGUCGUGGGUUCGAGCCCCAUGUUGGGCA